rnacentral:lncRNA from 1 species
UGAACCUUGAACAUUUGGACUAAUAAAGCUGACAGACUUGAUGUAGCUCAUGAAUUUAUUGUUAUUCUAUAAAUUCUGACACUACAAAAUGACACGAAUCUUUCCUAAGUUACUGACAGAGUUUACUUAUGACAAUAGCUUGUUCAUAUUAUAUACAAAGCCCUUGGGGGCUGGGGAUUUAGCUCAGCGGCAAAGCGCCUGCCUGGCAAGCGCAAGGUAGUGAGUUCGGUUCCCGGUACCGGAGAAAAACCAAAAAAGAGAAAAAAAAAAAAAAAAAAAAAAAAAAAAGCCCUUGUCCUGCAAAUGGCCAUGGAAUCUUUCCAAAGGAUGGUAUGCAUCUCCCAUUAGCCAAACAUGAUGGUAGUGUGUUCCUCUACCAUUGCUCUCCUAGGGAGAAGAGAGACCAACUUUUUUGCUCCAAGGGCUGUCUGCUACUUCCAGGGCCAGAACACCUUUGUUCAUCUUUGUGGAAGGAGGCAAUGUUUCCUCCACUUGCAACAGAAAAAUCACCCUAGGGCCAGAUCUGCAGGCUUUCUGGCCCAAAGCUAUGCUGGAGCUUGACAAAGAAAUGCAAGUUGGAAACCUUCAAAAUAAAAAGAAUAUUGUGAAUCCCUGUGCAGCAAGUUAC